UUUUAAGUGCUUCUCUUUGCCAUUAUUUUAUAUCUUUAUGAUUAAUUUCUACAUUGCUAAUUUAAUGUGUUGUCAGUGUAAUUGUUGUAAUGUGCUGUGUAUUAUUUCUGAUUGCAUCAGGCUACUAACGUAAACGGGACAUCGACAGAAGAUACAAAGAGAGCAGAAGAGUUUCUGAAAAAGAAACUAUCUUUCAGAGGGAAUGCUUUCCUGAUUAUCCAUGAAAUGGUGAAACUGAAUGCAACACACCCUACACUGCUUAUGGAUGAGAUUCUUCACAGCAUCUUCUUUUUGGGAAAGUUAGACGAUCCAAAAUUUAUCCCAGAAUCUCUUGUGAGUAAUGAUAAAGAACUCAGCGAAAAGUUGAAGGACUUCCCUCGGCCUUUUGCCCUCUAUUCCUCUCAAGUACCCAAGCGGAGUCCAUUCUCAUGUUUUCUGGACAUGAUUGUCCACCUGUAUGGAGAAAAUGACGAA